ACUCACACGCCCAGGCCUGAAAACCACCCAGCAUCUGAGCGAACGGCAGGAUGGGGGUGGGGGGGAAGACACCCCGUAAACCAGCGUGAACCGAGUCAAGCACCAGGAGCAGGGCGGGCGGACAGCCAGGAAGCCAGCCAGCACCCAAUCAUUUCUGCUGGUGGUGGUGACGAGAGCGGCUUCAUAAUUCUACAUCUAAUUCAAAUUUUCAUAAAUAACACGGAGAAUGAGGCUGAUGACAACCCCCGCCCCCAGACGACGACGUUUGACCAGAAGAAGAAAUUUGCAGGACUCCAUUCGGCAACUUAACGUCACAAUUAGUAAAGAUUUGUUCUCGGCCCCAU